CCUGUUGGUCAGCACCCCAUCCUAAUUAAUCAUACAGUCCGGUUGUCUUGCAUAACCCGGGGAGAGUACAUAUCAGAAUGACUAAAAGUCAGUUAAAAGACUUGUGACAGUGAAUUUUUUUUUUCCCCAACAGAGACCCAUAAAGAAUACACCUCAUCUUUAGAUCAUAUGCAUCUCAUCCUGAAAUGCCUUUCUCAUAGAAUAUACUCAUUCCUUCCACAUCUGAAAUAGAUCGCUACACUUUUCUUCUUGUUCCCUUUUUUCUUUUCUCUUUUGCAACUCCUGGCAAUAACAGAAACCGUGCUCUCUCUACUUGACAUCUGGCUGUACUCCCAGAGCUCCCACUCCCGUGUGGCACAUCUUUGUGCUUGCUCUGGGUGCUGCAGCGCCCAGCAUAUUGUUGGCCAGAGGUCCUGAAAGGAGCUGGAGUGGUGAAGGAUGAAGAGACGGCAAUGCAUGGGUUUAGGAAAUUGAAAAUUACACAUGCCUUGCGUUGUAUUUCUGUUGGAUCGUGCUGAUGUACGGAGCCUCUUCCACUCCUCAGCAGUGUUUGGUGAUCUGAAGAAGAGUGAGCACAGCUAUGGCUUUGCUGUUACUCACGUAUUGAUGAGCUCAGCCUUCUCAGAGGAGCCUCCCAGCAGGACCAUCCCUGCGCUCUCUCUAACCUUGCAUAGGAAAAAUGAGGAGCAUGACUGGGUCUGUGGAAGCAGGGGACGUAGAGAUGCUCCUUAAUGUUGCUGCAAGAUGGGAUGCAAAGAAGCCCAGGAACUUCUGGAGAAUGUUGUUUAGACUAAAAGCAAGCUCUUGCCAAAUAAAAAAUGGGGAGUUAUAAACUAUAAUGUGUCCCGCGUGCUCCCCCUGGGAACACAGGGGUUUCACUCUCACUGUCCACUGUGGCCUUGCACUGCUUUGUGGAACUGCUGAUUGAAGCUGCUGUUAGUGACUUAGUUGUCCUUUAUAUGCUGCUGCAUCAUCAGUUUGCUGUUCAAAACCCUUUAGGUAAGACGUUGCUUGCAUGUCUCCCUGGGAUCUGAGUUUGACCUCUUCUGGAGAGAGGAGUAUUUCAUGAGGAUUUCAUCACUGCCCACCUUAGCUAAAUUUCAAGUCAGCGAGCAUUAUGGAAGUAGUGGGAGGGAAAGAAGGAAGAAACCUGUCACACCAGAGAUUUGGCUUCUUGGAUGUGUUAGCUGGCACCCACAGAUCCACUGUGAAGGAGCUAAACUCAUCAUUAGCCUAAUCUAUGACAUGUGGUAUUCUGCUUAAAAUAAACUUGUUUUCAUGUCUCUACAUUUCAAUUUUCUUCUCUAUUAGGUUUCUAUGGUAUCUUAUUGUAUUCACUCUUUGUAUUACAAAGUCUUUUGUGGAGAAAAAUUAAAAGGCUGUGAAUAUUGUUAACAAAAGGGAAAACGAUGAAGUAUGAGAUCUCACGUUUAUUGAGCACUUGCCACGUGUAAGGUAUUUUAGUUUAUUUUUUUUUUGCUGAGGAGGAUUAGCCCUGAGCUAACCUCUGUUGCCAAUCUUCCUCCACUUUGUAUGUGGGAUGCCUCCACAGCAUGGCUGAUGAGUGGAGUAGGUCUGUGUCCAAGAUCCAAACCCCUGAACCCAGGCCACCGCACACGGAACUUUAACCAGCCACAGGGCUGGCCCCCACAUGUGAGGUAUUUUCCUAACUGCUUCACAGUAUUCUAGCGUUGACUAGUUACAACAGCCUUACAAGGUGGGCAGUAUUAUCAUUCCCAUUUGACAGAUGUGGAAACAGAAGUGCAGAGAAGUUAAGUAAUGUGUGCAGGGUUGUGGAGUGAGGAGAAGCAUAGGGUCUGAACUUCUUAACGAGUUCUGUUAACAUUACUAUCCUGAUUCAUUAACAUGUCCUCUCCAACAAAUUCAAAGAUGCUCCCAGAGCAGGUACUUGGGUUUAUUACUAGUACAUAGUGAGAACUGACCUUAGUCAAUAACUCAGCCACAUUCUCUAAUUGCAUUUUUUUUUUUAAACAUGAGCCACAUAUUUCUAUUCUUCCAAAGUGGUAUUUUAUUUUUUUAUUAUUUUUUUAAUUGCAGUAACAUUGGAUUAUAACAAUAUAUAGCUUUCAGAUGUACAUCAUGAAAGUGGUGUUUUAAAAUACCACUUAAAUAUAGUUAACUGUGCUUGUUGCAUUUAAAUUAUAGCACGAUUCUUUCCUGGGAAUAUAAAUUCAGAAAUACGAUGUGAGGAUGACAGAAGUCUCAGGCUAGAAUGCAAUAACAUGAUUAAGCUCUGUUUAAAUACUUGUUUCACUGUUAGGUUUGAGUGUCCAGUUUACACUACAUGCAUAUGCAAGAUGGCUGCAUCUUAGGCAAUCUUCUCUUUGUCCAUACUGGAACACAUAAACUUUUAAGGAUGUAGAUGAAAUGGUCAAGGAUUUUUUUUUUCUGCUUUCAUGUUUUAUGAAGCAAUUCAAAAUUCUUUGAUGUAGAAAAUCCAAAAUCCAUGAACUAAAUUGUUUACUUGAACCUGUGGUAAGUAUUUUUGUCAUCCCAAGAACCACUUCAAGUUUUCUUACAUAUUCUCAGAGGACACAUUCUUCAUUUCAAUCUGUGUUGUUUGAGAUAUCACUAGAAAUUUUAUCCUAAGCCAGGAAUACUUUCAAAAAUCAUUUGCAUAACACUAGCACAAUAAUUUCAGUCGUUGUGUAAAUCUGGACUUUUUACCUUCACCCACUUGACCAUAUUGCAUUUUAAAAUAAUACUUGAAAGGCUUGUUUACAGUGAUAAACAAAACCUACCACUGUGAAAUAUACCAUAGGAAUAACCACUACAUGACACUAAAUUUCUUUAUUUUUAAAGAUUUUUUUAGGUGAUUUCUAUAAACGUCUCCAACUAACAUUGAUUCAGGUUGUUUUAGGGUACUAAUACGUCUUGAUAAAUAAAUGACAAGCAGUAGGUUAUAUUAGAGUAUAUGAGGAAGCCAUUUUGGCCUGACUUUGUUUUUCCAGAAAGGCCUGAUGUGGCCUGUGGAGCAUGAAUUGUACAUCUGCUUUAAACAUUUACAAUGUCUCAAAGACAAGAAUGAUGCCCUUAAAGAUAGGGAUGUUGCUUCCCCCCAUAGCGACAUUUCCUUAAAGAUAAGCAUCUUUCCCUGGAAACUAGGGAUUGACUACUGACCUGCUGUGCUAGCAAAGCAAGCUCAUGACUGCUGUAAAAGGGACGUUCCCGUCAUAUGUGAUGUGUGCUCUUUGUUCCAAGACCGUAUAUAACUGCUCUGUACACCCUACUUCUUUGGUGCCCUUCCUUCCUUGAUGAAGGAAGCCCUCUGGGCUAUAGUCCUCAGACCUAGCUCAUAAUAAAUUCACCCCAAAUUUUGAUUUAUAGCUUGAUUAUGGAUUAUUUGCAUCAACAGUCUUCUAACAGUUCUUUGUAGCUAUAGUAAAGUAGUUAAAGUAAUUGAUAAAGCCUAACCACAAUUAGAAACACUAUAUAAGGAUGCACUAUAAAACCCCUUCAACUAUGACUUUCAUGCUACUUGAAUGUUAAGUACAACAUGACCUGCCCAUCCAUUAGGGUUGAAGCAGAACCCUUCAUGCAAAACCAGAGUGUGAUGGAUAAGGAGUCCCCUGAAGCCAAAACCGCUUCUACCUUUUCUUUCUGUAGUUGGGCACAAAUUCAAGGGCAAACAGCAAGAAAUAAGAAAGAAGUUGGAGGACAGAGAGAGAGACAGACAGACAGAGAGAGACAGAGAGAGAAUGAACUUGUACAUAUUCAUUGACUCAGAGGUACCCCAGGCUCUGCUGCCCUCCUUCCUUCUUCCUCCAUGUUCCUUCCAGGGAGCAGCAGUUGGAACUCUGCUCCCUCCUGUAUACUCCCAGGUUUCCUGUUUAGCUGGUUGACAUCUUGAUUCUUUUUCUUUUCAAGGCAGGUCUGCCUUGAUGUCAGUAUAAAAAAUAUUGUACAUUAAAGUAUGACAGACAUUUACGGUACACAAAUCUUAGGUCUACAACUCAAUGAAUUUUACAUAUAUAUCACCUGAAUAGCCGCCACUCAGAUGAAGAUGUCACUUUCCGACAUUGCUUCCUGGUCAAUACCCCCAGGUAACUAUUAUCCUGGCAUCUAUCACUACGGUUUAGUUUUGCCUGCUUGUGAAUGCUGUCAUAUUUCUUUGUAAAUUUGGUUGCAAAUAUUAUACUACACAGUCUGUUGUGUCUGAAUUCUUUCAUUUGUGCUUCUUUGUGAGAUUUAUCCUUGUUGUUGCCUGCUGUUUAUUCUCAUUUUCGCAUAGUAUUUCAUUGCACAAUUUUACCACAAUCUAUCCUUUCUUCUUUUGAUGGGCAUUUAGGUUGUUUCCAGUUUCUGGCUAUUACCGAAAAAGCGCCUAUGAACAUUCUUGUACUUGUCUUUUGAUAGAUAUAAACACUCAUUUCUUUUGGAUAUAUACCCAGGAAUGAAACUGCUGGGUUGUAAGGUAUGCGUAUGUUUAGCUCUAGUGAGUUCUCCAAAUAUUUUUGCAAAGUGGUUGUGCCAUUUUACAUUCUCACCAUCAGUUUUGAGAGUUCUAGUUUCUCCACAUUUUUGUUAACAUUCGGUUUUGUCAGUCAUUAAGCUUUUCCAGUCCUUGUAUAGAGUGGUAUCGUUCUAGUUUUAAUUUGCAUUUCUCUGGUGAAUAAUAAGGGAGAGCACAUCUGUUUGGGAAUGUUUGUGAAAGGGGAUUGGGGCAUGAUGCAGCAUAUACCAUCUUUAAGAUCCUCAGAAAGAGUCUGUCUGUGAUUUCCUGGAGGCGAGCUUUCCGGUGUGGCCACAUUUUCAGAGGGAUUUGGAAUAGACUAACAUGCAAACCUAAAUAGUAAAUAGGUGGCUUUCAUGAUGCGAACAGAGCUAGGGUUUUGGUGGUACGUUGUCCCCUUAAGAUUUUCUGGUAUAAGGGAUAUAAGCUUAGCCGAAACCAAAGAGAAUUUUAAGUAUUAGUUCCUUGGAUUCAAAUAGGAUAAUUUUAUUAUAAUUAUGCUUUAUUACACAGACUGUUCCAGGGUACAAUCCAUAAUACUGCCCUAGUAAGAAAUAUCACAUCAGGCCACAUAUAUGCUAUUUAGUAAGGUCCACUGAAUCUUGAUUCAAAAAUGAGAAUAACAUUUUUAAUUUUAUGAGAAAAUGCUCUUUGGCAUGUAAAACUGAGUUAAACUGUUGGUGAAUGGCUUACCCAAAGGUGGCACCAAUAUCUGCAUAAACUUUUUGGAUUCUUAGCCUAGGGUCCAAGUUACUGCUAGGAGGUAGUGACGCAGCAUUUAAAAUUCUUAAUGAGACUUUGAUACCUAUCCACGUUCUUUUUGUGCCAAAGAAAGCAUAGUAAGUUUUGUUCUCAUUCUGUUCCACCUUAAACUCACUCUAUUCUCUCAAAGAAGCAGGACAGAGGACUUGUGUGCGUGCCAGCUUUGGAAACGAUGGCACUAGUUUUGCAAUCUUGAAUGAGUGGCUUAACUUUCAAAGCCUGAGUUUCCUCACUUGUGCAAUAAUAACUACCCCGUGUUGUUGUGAGGAUUAAAUGAGCUAAUGUUUAAAAAUAACAUAGCAUAACUUUUUUGCAUGAAAUAAUCAGAUUGGAGGUGGAUGUAUUGAAGUUGUCUGACAUGAGAAAAUUAGUUGUCAUUUCUGUCAGAGGUGGAUUUAAAAUGACGUUUAAGCAGCGACCCCUCACAAACAUGCUCCAAAUAAGAUAUUUUAGCUACAGUUGGCUGCGAUCACUUUCUUUUCUCAUUUUGAUUUCCUCUUGAUCACAUAUGCCAUUGCAUCAACUGGCAUUGAAGGGCUGCAGGCAUUUUUGGGUUUCAGGUGUGGGAGAGUUGAGUUGGAAAUAUGUUUAGCUUGGGUUUAUGGGGCGUAUUUGACUCACACUUCUACAUACUUCUACAGCUGAGUUACUGCUGGUGGUCUCGGUGUUGGAAUGGCGUCUAGAAAAACUCCAGCUGCCCAGUGUGAUAUGUGCAGGUUUAAAGCCAUAGGUGUGGUCAAGCUGCUGAAGAUGCGGACGGCAUCCAGCAUCAGAAGUAUGUGGGUGGCGGGGGAGGAACUGGUUUGAUAUGGACUAAACUAGACGCAACUGGUAGAAAACGCUUCCAAACCCUAGAGCUCACGUUAAAGAAAUGUUAUAAAAGCCUUCCCAAUUUUGGCUACAAUCCUAAAAAUGUAUAUGAAGUUACCCAUAAUGAGUUGUGAAGCUAAAAAAAGCUUUUCUAAACUAUCAGUAAAAUAAAUUUUGAACAACCCCACUUACAGAGAUACUGAAGUCCUUGUAUUCUCUCUAUAGAAAUUAUAAAAUAAUUGUCAUACAAAAAGGUGCUCAAGGAACAUGAAGUCCAAAAAACAGAAUAGAAGUAUGUCAGGAAGUUAAUAAAGUUAUGUUAUUUUUCUUUUUUUUUUUCCCUAAAGAUUGGCACCUGAGCUAACAACUGUUGCCAAUCUAUUUUUUUUUCUUUCUGCUUUUUCUCCCCAAAUUCCCCCAGUACAUAGUUGUAUAUUUUAGUUGUGAGUCCUUCUAGUUGUGGCAUGUGGGACACUGCCUCAACGUGGCCUGAUGAGUGGUGCCAUGUCCGUGCCCAGGAUCCGAACCAGUGAAACCCUGGGCCGCCGCAGCAGAGCGCACGAACUUAACCACUCGGCCACGGGGCCGGCCCCUUUCUUUUAUAUUUAUAAAUAUUAUAAUAUUUAUAGUAUUUGUCAGCUUUUAACUUAUUUGUUGUGAUUUCUUUCUUAUUCCCUGAUACAUUUGUACCUGUUUUUGGAGUUACAAGUUUGCUUUAUUUUCCUAAGGUGAACUUUCAAAUUGUAUAAACUUCUGGAACACACUCCAGAACCCACCCAUUGGUGGCCACUUACCCUACAGCCGAUGGCCCAGCGUGACCUUGGUAGACACAUCUCAGUUUGUGGCUCUCCUUGAGUCUGAGUUCUCAAGCACCAUGGAACUGAGAAACAUGAAAGAUAUAAUAUUCCUAGGGACAGGAUUUUUAAAAAUAUCAUUCUGCUCUCACAUUGCUCUGGUUCCUUUUGGCAAGCCAAGUAUUGGCUUUGUGUAACUGAGGGAGAAAAUUGAGGUUCCUAGUCCCCUUGCUUCCCAGUUGUUGGGGCCCAGGGCAGGCUGCCCCCAAACAUCCCACAAUAGCAUAUUGAUUAUUUUGAAUUAAAGUUACUUGUUUUGACUUAAAGUUUUGACCCUCUUCUCUCUGUUCUCCGUGAAAGCAGGAAGUAAAUCUCCCACGUGAAAGGUACCCUUCCUGCUCCAGGACACCGAGGCACCCUAUCAACAGUGAUAAGGAAUUCAGGGCCAAAAAAUGAUAUAUCAACAAACCUUGUUACUCUUAUUAAUUUACUACCUCAAGCCUAAACUCUGCUUGUAUUCCUCAGUAAUUACAUACCCCAAACCUAAGUUUCUUUGUUCAAAUCGUCACAAAGUUAUUGUUUCUUUGUGGAAAAGAUAUAAAAGCAGCUUGCUUUGCCAAUCUUGGAGAGCAUUAGUUUUACGAUCUCCCAUACGUAUGUAUUAAAUUGGCUUUUCUCCUGUUAAUCUGGUCUUUUGUCAAUUUUAUUAUUAGUCCAGCCACAAGAACUCGAGAGGUGGGGGAGAAUUUCCACCUCCCUGACACAGUAUAAUCACACAGAAGACUUUGAGUCUAUAGGUUCUUGACCAUGCAUAACGAGAUGACUAACCAUACUGCAGAUAAAGUGGCCAUGCCCCAGAAUUAAAUUGCAAGAAAGUACAACAGUAUCAUCAUAGCUACUUUAUAGGUAAAGAAACUGAGGCAUAAGGAAGUCCAGCUGACUUAUCAAGAACACAGUGAUUGGGAUUAAACCCAACAAACUAGUGAAUUAACUAAACUCUAUAACUCAUUGCUAUCUUGCUAAAUUAUUCACUUCAAAAACAAGAAGGAAGAUUUACCUUGAAUGUGCUUAGAUAUUGAUGUUUCCUUGGCAUCAGAUUCUAAAUUAAAAGAAAACAGUGUUUGAAGACAUGCAGUUUUGCUAAAAACUUGUGGGUUCUGAAGCAGCAGUCUCAGAAGCUCCUUCUCAUUCUCCAUUAAUUAAAAAGAGAAGUUCUGGGGCCGGCCUGGUGGCACAGUGGUUAAGUUCGCAC
rnacentral:lncRNA from 1 species